UACGGGGGGGGCAAGCGUUGUUCGGAAUUACUGGGCGUAAAGGGCUCGUAGGCGGCCAACUAAGUCAGACGUGAAAUCCCUCGGCUUAACCGGGGAACUGCGUCUGAUACUGGGUGGCUUGAAUCCGGGAGAGGGAUGCGGAAUUCCAGGUGUAGCGGUGAAAUGCGUAGAUAUCAGGAGGAACACCGGUGGCGAAGGCGGGUCUCUGGGCAGUAACUGACGCUGAGGAGCGAAAAGCGUGGGGAGCGAACAGG
rnacentral:rRNA from 1 species